rnacentral:rRNA from 1 species
GAAGCUGGAAUCGCUAGUAAUCGCGAAUCAGAAUGUCGCGGUGAAUACGUUCCCGGGUCUUGUACACACCGCCCGUCACACCAUGGGAGUCGGGAAUGCCCGAAGUCAGUGACCCAACCUUUGGAGGGAGCUGCCGAAGGCAGGUCUGAUAACUGGGGUGAAGUCGUAACAAGGUAAC